rnacentral:rRNA from 1 species
CGGGACGGGUGAGUAAUGUCUGGGAAACUGCCUGAUGAGGGGGAUAACUACUGGAAACGGUAGCUAAUACCGCAUAACGUCGCAAGACCAGAGGGGGACCUUAGGGCCUCUUGCCAUCGGAUGUGCCCAGAUGGGAUUAGCUAGUAGGUGGGGUAAAGGCUCACCUAGGCGACGAUCCCUAGCUGGUCUGAGAGGAUGACCAGCCACACUGGAACUGAGACACGGUCCAG